CCCGGCUCCGCGCCGGGGCUCCGCGCCCCUCCCUCGAGCUUGCCCACCCUCCAGUGCCAGCUGCAAUCCUGCGGCACCGGGUGGGGAGGGAGGAGGCCGCCGCAGAAGCGCCGCCGUCGCCGGCUCGCCUCUCUCGGGCCCCAGCGGCGGCAGCGGGCAGCGCCCAGAGCUGCUGCGCCAAAAAGGGCCAGAGAGCCGGUCCCCGCCCCCGCCCCGGCGCUCCGGCCGCUCUCCACGGUUCGGAUCCAGGGCCCCAGCCUUCCUCUCUCCAUAAAAGGAGGGGGAGUCAGUCUUUGGGGAAGGAGGGGGGCGGGUUUGGGGCACUCACCUGGCGGCUGCCACGCGCCCCCGCCCAGGAUCCGAGGCCUGGGGCAUCUGAAUGAGGACCCUCCACCCACAUUUCCACUUGGGAGCGAGCUCCAGUCGGGGAAAGGGCCUGCAGCCCGCCUCGUCCCCACCCUGGGACCCCGCGCCCCCCAGUCCCCCACUCCCGCGCCGAAGGCAGGGCCGCGCCCUGAGCCGGGAAGUCGAGGGGAUGGAAGGGAAAGGAGCCACCGGUGAGGGUCCCCCGGGUUCUGAGCCUCCCGCGUCGGGAUCCGUGGGGCGCACAGAGCGCCACCUCCGGCCGAGGCGCAGCUCAGAGCGCGAUGCGGGGGAGGAACGCGCGCGGAGGCCGAGGUCUGAGCGUGGCUAGACGGCUCCCACGCCGAGAAAGGGCGGGUGCGCCUGGGCUGGAUGGAUUUCGCCUCCCUAGACCAGGAGGGAUUGGACCCUGACUACAGGUCCAGGUGCUCGUCAGUGCCCUGCCAGGGGGUCUACGCGUCCUGGUACCGGGUCCAGCGGGGUGGCGUGCUGUGCAGACCCCGAGGCUAGACGGCCUAGGCCCCUGGAGCCCAGGAGACGCUUCCUUGGGUGAGCAGCGGAGAAUCCCGCCCGGCCCAGCCGUCACCCCCAACCCUGUCGAUUAAACCCCUGCCCCCGUCGCGGUCGCCCUCCCUCCAGACAAAGGCCGUUAAGGCGCAGCCCCGCGGGCGGUCUUUCAUCCCCAGCUAGGCCAGCUCUAGCAUUUCAAAGGCCGAAUCCGGAGAGCGCUUCGGGGGCUCUCCCCUUCCCCCAAAUAUUUGGGGAGCGACGCCUCUCCCUCCGCUCCCAGUGGGUCGCGUCUACACGCGCCCUUCCACACACCUGCAGGCCCCCUCCCCACGUCUCUCCCUUCCGUUGGCCGCAGCCCCACACCACGACCCCCGCGGUCAAGCAUGCCCUCUGGGUGGUCAGGACCAAGCGGGACCGGGACAGAACCAGGGGAGCCUUGGAAACGUGGAGGAGCCCCUUAAAGCCAGGCCUUGUCCCUCCAGGGGGAACUUGCGGCUUGGGAGGGGACACCCACUGCAUGGCUUCUGGAAAGAGCCGGACUCGCAGGGCCAGGACGCAGGCCGGACCCCGGCCUCAUUCUUCGGCCAGUUAUCCCGGAGUGGCGCGCAUCCUGUCUUCCUGGGCCUCGGACUGCUCGCGCGCAGAGGGGGCCCGAGGACACCUCUGUGGGGUUAGAGGACUCGGUAAGACGGUGUGGAAGGCAAGGAGGAAGGUCGCGUUGUAUUGGGGAUGGGGUACCCGUCCCUCCCAGCUUGAGGGAUCCUGGGGGUCCUCGCCGCCUCUGAGGGCCUAGAUGGCUGCUUCCCUCGGCUCCCCUGCCCGGCCUGGAGCUACGGGUGCGCCCAGCUAGAGUUUAGGGCCACCUGGGGACGUGCAAGGGGCGCUGGAGCGAGGCGGGGGCUGGGGCGGGGCGUGGGUGCUUCACCCGCGGGGGACGCAGAGCUUAGGCGAAAGCGGUGCAGGCAUCUCUCUAAUCGCCGGCCGCUAUUAAAAAUAAAACCGCGACCCGUCGCCAUGGCGACCACAACAACAGCGGCCGCGCGAGGGAGGCGAAAACUUGUGCAGCCGCGCGACAGCCGCCUUCUGGGGAGACUCGGGGCACGACGCACCCGGCGUGGGACUGGGACCCCCCUGCCCGGCCCCGCCACAUUCUCCGCCGGAUCCCCGGAAGACACAAGGAGACGUGGACCCCCACAGGCUUUUUUGGGGGGAUUGGGCGUUGAAACCGCAGGGCUGACUUAACCAAGAGGUCACCGACUUGGAUAAAAAACCCACGCCCGCGCGGACCCCCCUCCCCGGCCUUCGUUUCCAUUCAAACUCCCAGCGUCCUCAUUGCAGCCCCUGGGGAGGGGGACGGAGGGACGAGGUGGGUUUCAGGUGCUCGGCCCAGGAGGGGACGGUGCGACCCGGGCCCCGCCGGCGGGUUUUGCGCGCGGAGGCUGCGGCACCUGCCCCGCCCGCCCUGCCGCGAUCCUUGCAGACGGGGGCGGUCACAUGCUUCUUUCUGGCCAGGAAUCGAGUUUCACUUCCAGCCGCUAUUAGUCGGUUCACACAGUUCACUGCAAACAUUUGAUAAUGAGGCUAAAUAUACUCCCGCGUCGGAGGAGGCGUGGGCGUCCCCGCCCAGGCCCGGGAGACAGAGGCGCUGACCCCGGGACAGAGCCUGGCUUUGUGCGGGAGGCAGACGCGCCCCGCGCGCCGCCCCCGAAACAUUCGCACCCCAUGCUGAGGCGCGCGUCUGGGAGUCCGUGGGCGCCCCGAGGUGAGCCCGGGGCCCCUGGCGGAAGCAGCGGGGAGCUCCCGGCGGGUGCGGGGAGGUGCUGGUGGGAAGCAAGGUGCACCUGGCGGCCUGGGAUGUCCGGUCGCCCCCGGAGCCGGUGCAUCCGGCCUCUCCCGGCGCGCCCCGACGUGCCCGCGGGCUCAUAAUUACCGUGAGUCAGGUGCCCCAAAUAGGCCGAGCGAGGGGGGCCGUCGCGCAGCAGGGGCGGGUGGCCGGACGUCUGCCCGGGACUGGUUGCCUCCCGCCCCUCCCCAAGACCCUGGCACCCAGGGAGGGCGGGAAAGGCCUUGGCCAUUCCUCUGGGUAGGGGACUGGAGAGGGGAAGAAACUUUCGCCGAGUCCAGCGCUGCCCCCUCAUACCCAUCCCCACCCAGGCUGCGUGUCCGGGGCCCCUCCGGGGCUUGGCACCAGCAGGCACGCAGCGAUCGCCGUCGUUGUUAUUUAGUAGUAGUAGUAACGGCUGACAUUUACAGCGACGUCGAUGGCGCCAGGUGCCAAGCUCUUUCCUUGUAUAAUUUCAUGGACACUCACGCAUCAACUCUAAGCGAAGACUUGGAGCGGGGCUCAGCACCCCAGGGGUACCUCUGCAACCUCGAAAUGAAGUUGAAAAUAGCACAGGAGCCCACUAUCACUGUGUGAACAUUUUGUGAAUGAAGACAUGUAUGAAAGGAUGUUUGGAGGCUUCAAGAAACGAAAGCCGAGAGUCUAGCUAGACCAGAGCCAUCCAGCCCAGGAGCGAUGGCCACGUGUGGCCGCUGGACACGAGAGACGUGGCCAGUCCAAACUGUGCAGUGCGGUAAGGGCAGAACACAUGCCAGCUUUCGAAGGCUUAGUAAAGAAUGCAAAAUUUCUCAAUUGGGAAUUUUUGUAUGAAUUUCAGGUUGAAAAAAACAUUUUGGAUAUAUGGUGUUAAAUAAACAUGAUUACAAUGACUUUCGCUGUCAGCCUCCCGGAGGCUCAUUUUGCUCCUCUGGGCCACAGCCAGCUCAGAGGGUUGCUCUAGGAAAUAUCUACACGUUCUUGAAGCACAGGUUUAUGUGCCAGGCACUGUACUAAGUGCUGGGGACACGGCGUUAAGACCAGGCCCUCACGGAGCCCUCACUCUCUGAGGAGGAACAAUAAGUCAGAGAGCGCGCGAGUGCAGCCCUUCAGGCAAAGGAUUUCAGGCCCAGGUCAGGAAGGCCUUGUCUGAGGAGUCUGAGAAGAAGUCAAUUGACAACAGCUAGAACAUCUAGGUCAGGCACUCCAGGCCGACACGACAAAGCAGGUGCAAAGGCCCCAGGGCGGGAACCAGCGUGGCUUGUUCACAGAACAAGGAGGUAGAUCGCUUGCCCUUGGGACCAAAGGAAGGCUCUGGAUUUUAUUCUAGGGGCAGUGGAAGCCGUUGGAGGGCCUCAGGCAGGAACACAAGGUGUCGUGGCAGAAAGGAAGAAGGGGCCGGGCACGGUGGCCCACACCCGUCAUCCCAGCACUUUGGGAGGGAGGCCAAGGCAGGAGGAUCGCUUCAAUCCAGGAGUUCAAGAUCAGCCUGGGCAACACAGCAAGACCCCGUCUCUACUAAAACCCUAAAACUUAGCCAGGCUUGGUGGCAUGUGCCUAAGGUCCCAGGUCCUCGGGAGACUAAGGCAGGAGGAUUGCUUAAGCCCAAGAGUUUGAGGCUGCAGUGAACUAUUAUCACACCACUGCACUCAGCCUGGGUGACAGAGUGACUCUGUCUCAAAACUAAAUAAAUAAACAAUAAUUGUGUU
rnacentral:lncRNA from 1 species